rnacentral:hammerhead_ribozyme from 1 species
CUCAUCUGAUGAGUCCCAAAUGGGACAAAACGCGCGUCCUGGAA